AGAGUUUGAUCCUGGCUCAGAAUCAACGCUGGCGGCGUGCCUCAGACAUGCAAGUCGAACGCGAAAGAAGCCUUCGGGUUUCAAGUAGAGUGGCGUCCGGGUGAGUAACACGUAGGUAAUCUACCUUCGGGUGGGGAAUAACGCAGGGAAACUUGCGCUAAUACCGCAUAAUGCAGCGGCACCACAUGGUGACAGUUGUUAAAGCGGGGGAUUUUCGAACCUCGCGCCUGAAGAGGAGCCUGCGGCAGAUUAGCUAGUUGGUAGGGUAACGGCUUACCAAGGCGACGAUCUGUAGCCGGCCUGAGAGGGCGGUCGGCCACACUGACACUGACAUACGGGUCAGACUCCUACGGGAGGCAGCAGUCGGGAAUUUUGGGCAAUGGGCGAAAGCCUGACCCAGCAACGCCGCGUGAAGGAUGAAAUCCCUCGGGAUGUAAACUUCGCAAGAAUAGGAAGAAUGAACGAGCGCUAACACCGUUCGUGAUGACGGUACUAUUUGUAAGCUCCGGCUAACUCCGUGCCAGCAGCCGCGGUAAUACGGGGGGAGCAAGCGUUGUUCGGAUUUACUGGGCGUAAAGGGCGCGUAGGCGGCCAGCGCAAGUCAGUUGUGAAAUCUCCGGGCUUAACUCGGAAAGGUCAACUGAUACUGCGCGGCUAGAGUGCGGAAGGGGCAACUGGAAUUCUCGGUGUAGCGGUGAAAUGCGUAGAUAUCGAGAGGAACACCUGCGGCGAAGGCGGGUUGCUGGGCCGACACUGACGCUGAUGCGCGAAAGCCAGGGGAGCGAACGGGAUUAGAUACCCCGGUAGUCCUGGCCUUAAACGAUGGAUGCUUGGUGUCUGGAGUUUUAUAGUCUCCGGGUGCCGCAGCUAACGCGUUAAGCAUCCCGCCUGGGGAGUACGGUCGCAAGACUGAAACUCAAAGGAAUUGACGGGGACCCGCACAAGCGGUGGAGCAUGUGGUUCAAUUCGACGCAACGCGAAGAACCUUACCUGGGCUAGAAUGCUUCCGACAGCCGUAGAGAUACGGUCUCCUAGGGAAACCUAGGCGGAGUGCAAGGUGCUGCAUGGCUGUCGUCAGCUCGUGUCGUGAGAUGUUGGGUUAAGUCCCGCAACGAGCGCAACCCUUAUCGAUAGUUGCUAGCGGUUCGGCCGAGCACUCUAUUGAGACUGCCGUUGACAAAACGGAGGAAGGUGGGGAUG
rnacentral:rRNA from 1 species